GCGACAUCUAGUGACGACAUUUACCGGGCUUUAACGGUUGUUGCUGCAUGAAGUCUGCUGCAAUUUCUCUGAGAUUUCUCAAGAUCAUCAGUUUGGACAGAAUUCAUUUGAAGAAUUAAUAGCACUAGCAGGUUUCAUUAAAGGCUGGAACAGAACAGACAGAAAAGAAUCUGUCAGAAGAAAUUCAACUACUGUUCGUGCACCAGAUGGUGAAGUAGAAAAGUUCGUAAAAACUUCUGCAGCUUACAUCUGACAGAGAUGCAAAAAGAAUAAGAGAGCGGGCCUGAAAACAAGCAAAUUCAAGGUAUUUCAAUUGUUGUUAAAGGGAUAGUUCAAUAGAUAUUCUUUCAUCAUUUACUCAUCCUCAUGUUGUUCUAAAUCUGCAUGAUUUUUUCUGAUGAACACAAAUUAAGAUGUUUUGCGUAAUGAUGGUAAAAACACAGCACAUUGUAACCAUUGACUUCCAUAGUAGGAAAAAGUAUUUUGAAAGUAUUGUGAUAUAUGAUGAA